AAUCUGUGUGACUGCGUACCUUUUGUAUAAUGGGUCAGCGACUUAUAUUCUGUAGCAAGGUUAACCGAAUAGGGGAGCCGAAGGGAAACCGAGUCUUAACUGGGCGUUAAGUUGCAGGGUAUAGACCCGAAACCCGGUGAUCUAGCCAUGGGCAGGUUGAAGGUUGGGUAACACUAACUGGAGGACCGAACCGACUAAUGUUGAAAAAUUAGCGGAUGACUUGUGGCUGGGGGUGAAAGGCCAAUCAAACCGGGAGAUAGCUGGUUCUCCCCGAAAGCUAUUUAGGUAGCGCCUCGUGAAUUCAUCUCCGGGGGUAGAGCACUGUUUCGGCAAGGGGGUCAUCCCGACUUACCAACCCGAUGCAAACUGCGAAUACCGGAGAAUGUUAUCACGGGAGACACACGGCGGGUGCUAACGUCCGUCGUGAAGAGGGAAACAACCCAGACCGCCAGCUAAGGUCCCAAAGUCAUGGUUAAGUGGGAAACGAUGUGGGAAGGCCCAGACAGCCAGGAUGUUGGCUUAGAAGCAGCCAUCAUUUAAAGAAAGCGUAAUAGCUCACUGGUCGAGUCGGCCUGCGCGGAAGAUGUAACGGGGCUAAACCAUGCACCGAAGCUGCGGCAGCGACGCUUAUGCGUUGUUGGGUAGGGGAGCGUUCUGUAAGCCUGCGAAGGUGUGCUGUGAGGCAUGCUGGAGGUAUCAGAAGUGCGAAUGCUGACAUAAGUAACGAUAAAGCGGGUGAAAAGCCCGCUCGCCGGAAGACCAAGGGUUCCUGUCCAACGUUAAUCGGGGCAGGGUGAGUCGACCCCUAAGGCGAGGCCGAAAGGCGUAGUCGAUGGGAAACAGGUUAAUAUUCCUGUACUUGGUGUUACUGCGAAGGGGGGACGGAGAAGGCUAUGUUGGCCGGGCGACGGUUGUCCCGGUUUAAGCGUGUAGGCUGGUUUUCCAGGCAAAUCCGGAAAAUCAAGGCUGAGGCGUGAUGACGAGGCACUACGGUGCUGAAGCAACAAAUGCCCUGCUUCCAGGAAAAGCCUCUAAGCAUCAGGUAACAUCAAAUCGUACCCCAAACCGACACAGGUGGUCAGGUAGAGAAUACCAAGGCGCUUGAGAGAACUCGGGUGAAGGAACUAGGCAAAAUGGUGCCGUAACUUCGGGAGAAGG
rnacentral:rRNA from 1 species